rnacentral:misc_RNA from 1 species
UUUCCGUAGGUGAACCUGCGGAAGGAUCAUUAAAGUUAUAGUCCCCCGGCCCCUUCGGGCUGGGGUCUUCUAUACCACCCUUUGUUUAUUACACCUUUGUUGCUUUGGCAGGCCUGCCCUCGGGCUGCUGGCUCCGGCCGGCUCGUGCCUGCCAGAGGACCUAAACUCUGUUUGUAUAUGAAGUCUGAGUACUAUAUAAUAGUUAAAACUUUCAACAACGGAUCUCUUGGUUCUG